rnacentral:tRNA from 1 species
CGGGGUGUGGCGCAGCUUGGUAGCGCAUUGCACUGGGGGUGCAAAGGUCACAGGUUCAAAUCCUGUCACCCCGACCA